UUAGAGUUUGAUCCUGGCUCGGAUGAACGCUGGCGGCGUGCCUUAUAUAUGCAAGUCGAGCGGUACUGAGAGCAAUCGAAGUACAGCGGCGGACGGGUGAGUAACGCGUGGGUAUCUUCCUUAAAGUUGGACAUAGCUAGCCGAAAGGUUAGGUAAUUUCCAAUGUGACCGCAAGGUCAAAGCAGCAAUGCGCUUUAAGACGAGCCUGCGUCCUAUCAGCUAGUUGGUGGGGUAACGGCCUACCAAGGCAACGACGGGUAGCUGGUCUGAGAGGAUGGUCAGCCACAAUGGGACUGAGACACGGCCCAUACACCUACGGGUGGCGCAGUAGGGAAUCUUCGACAAUGGGCGAAAGCCUGAUCGAGCGACGCCGCGUGGAGGAUUGAAGGCCUUCGGGUUGUAAACUCCUUUUAUCUGGGAAGAUUAUGACGGUACCAGAUGAAUAAGCACCUGCUAACUACGUGCCAGAAGCCUCGGUAAGACGUAGGGUGCAAGCGUUAUCCGGAUUUACUGGGCGUAAAGUGUUGCGUAGGCGGUCCGAUGCAUUUUGUUUUAAAGCCUAUGGCUUAACCAUAGUUUCGGACAAAAUAUGAUCGGACUGGAAGAAUAGAGGGGGUACUGGAACUUGUCGUGUAGCAGUGAAAUGCGUUGAUAUGACAAGGAACACCAAAGGCGUAGGCAGGUACCUGGCUAUUUCUUGACGCUGAGGCACGAAAGCUUGGGGAGCGAAGCAGAUUAGAGACCUGCGUAGUCCAAGCCGUAAACGAUGGAUGCUAGAUAUCCGACUUUUGUUGGGUGUCGUAAGCUAACGCGUUAAGCAUCCCGCCUGGGGAGUACGAGCGCAAGCUUAAAACUCAAAGGAAUUGACGGGGAGGCGCACAAGCAGUGGAGCAUGUGGUUUAAUUCGAGACAAAGCGAAAAACCUCACCAGGACUUGACAUGCAGAUGCAAAUCCGCCGAAAGGCGGACUCCUUCGAGGGUUCUGCACAGAUGCUGCAUGGCUGUCGUCAGCUCGUGGCGUGAGCUGUACCCUUAAGUGGGAUAACGAGCGCAACCCGCACUAUAUGUUAAAUAAUUCAUAUGGAACUGCCCCUUUAUUUGGGGAGGAAGGCGCGGAUGACGUCAAGUCAGCACGGCUCUUACGUCCUGGGCUACACACAUCCUACAAUGGUGAAUAACAACGAGUUGCAAGCUGGCAACAGCAAGCUAAUCUCUAAAAUUUCAUCUCAGUUCGGAUUGGGGUCUGCAAUUCGACCCCAUGAAGUCGGAAUUGCUAGUAAUCGCAAAUCAGCAGGUUGCGGUGAAUACGUUCUCGCCUCUUGUACACACCGCCCGUCAAGCGAGCAAAGUUGGGGGCACCCGAAUGUCAAUUUAUUGGCAGAAGGUGAAAUCAGCGAUGAGCGCUAAGUCGUAACAAGGUAACC
rnacentral:rRNA from 1 species